AGGAGAAACAGAGAGCUGGAGAAAAGUUAAUUGAUGACUCUUCCCUUGUAUGAUUUAAAAGGAAGCUAUAGAGAAAUUGUUAAUGAAAACUCUUGAGAUAAGAUAAGAUUUUAGAGAGAAUAGUUUAGAAGUAUUUAUGAUCUUGUUAAUGGAAUUUUUAAUGGGAUUGAUAAUAAGAAACUAUAUGAAAUUGUAAUAACUCAUGAGAGAUUUAAGAACUGAAAAUCAGAAGAGGAUUGGUAGGUAAUUUUCUUAUAGAUAAUGAAAGAGGUAGUAGAAGAAGAACAAUGUUCUUGAUGAAGUCAUCAAAAUGGAAUAAUGAUGUUUAUGGAUGUUACAAGGAUUCAAUGCUGGAACAAUACCGAUCAAUCAAGGAUGAACCAGUGGAUCAUGGAUCUCGAGGUAGGCGAGGCUUGUCAUCAAAAGAGUUUCAGAGAUAGAUCAGAGUUGCGCAGCGGAAGCUUAGUGACGUUGAGUCUUCUGAUAUGGUUAUUAUGAUGUAUGUUCUAUUUGCAAACAAAAUGAUUAUUAUAUAUGUAUCAUUUGAGAGGAGUUCUUCUAUAUAUAAAUUUCAGA